GAUGAAGAACGCAGCGAAAUGCGAUAAUUAAUGUGAAUUGCAGAAUUCCGUGAAUCAUCGAGUCUUUGAACGCACAUUGCGCCUCAUGGCAUUCCGUGAGGCAUGCCCAUCUCAGCGUUAGAAAAUAUUCUCAAAUUUUAGUUUUGUGCUAAAAUUUGGGUCAUGUCAAGGAAGCUAUUACUAUUAUUGUGAUCGCUCUUUGGAAAUUGAUAGGUCUUUGAGUUGCUACUCAUAGAACGUGAUGAAUCUUUCUUCGUUCUAUUGUAAUUCACUCUGGUAGUCCUAAAACUUGUAUGCCUGUGGCAUAUCUUGUAAUUUGACCUGAGAUUGGGUAGGGAUACCCGCUGAACUUAAGCAUAUCAAUAAGCGGAGGA
rnacentral:misc_RNA from 1 species